UACCAGAAAACAGAUAUGAAACUACGAGUUGUAGGGUUCGAUAGCAGCAAGGAAAUAAUCAUCAUAUUUCAUAGAUUCGAAUAAUGCAAGUAACAAUCAUUUAAUGAUGAUCAGAUAAUCAGAUAAAAACACACAAAUAUAAGUUUAUCAAGAAGAAAUAUGAAAACAGUUAAGAUAGAAUAGUGAUUAACGAAAAGUAUUGUAUUGUUGUAUUGUUUAUUGUAUUAAGUGAUUGGCCAAACAAGCGGCCUUAUCACUGAAUUAAAACUAAAACUUAAAUAACUAACGCAGUGUACAAUGACAAAACGGAUCAACAAAAUCUAGUAGAGAAAGAGAGUCGGAAGUGUUACGUACGAUACGAAACAGCCUAACAUCAUCCGCAUAAAGCAGACAAUCUGCUUCCGUAA